AUUGAACGCUGGCGGCAGGCUUAACACAUGCAAGUCGAGCGGAGCGAGGGUGCUUGCACCUUAGCUUAGCGGCGGACGGGUGAGUAAUGCUUAGGAAUCUGCCUAUUAGUGGGGGACAACAUUCCGAAAGGGAUGCUAAUACCGCAUACGCCCUACGGGGGAAAGCAGGGGAUCUUCGGACCUUGCGCUAAUAGAUGAGCCUAAGUCGGAUUAGCUAGUUGGUGGGGUAAAGGCCUACCAAGGCGACGAUCUGUAGCGGGUCUGAGAGGAUGAUCCGCCACACUGGGACUGAGACACGGCCCAGACUCCUACGGGAGGCAGCAGUGGGGAAUAUUGGACAAUGGGGGGAACCCUGAUCCAGCCAUGCCGCGUGUGUGAAGAAGGCCUUUUGGUUGUAAAGCACUUUAAGCGAGGAGGAGGCGCUCUAGGAUAAUACCCUAGAUGCGGGACGUACUCGCAGAAUAGCAC
rnacentral:rRNA from 1 species